AAAGUACUCCCUCCGUUCCAAAAUAGAUGACUCAACUUUGUACUAAAGUUAGUACAAAAUUGAGUCAUCUAUUUUGGAACGGAGGGAGUAGUAA
rfam:Triticum aestivum genome assembly, contig: Triticum_aestivum_CS42_TGACv1_scaffold_621384_7DS